rnacentral:rRNA from 1 species
GUUUGAUUCUGGCUCAGGACGAACGCUGGCGGCACGCUUAACACAUGCAAGUCGAACGAGAGAAGAGAAGCUUGCUUUUCUGAUCUAGUGGCGGACGGGUGAGUAACACGUGAGCAAUCUGCCUUUCAGAGGGGGAUACCGAUUGGAAACGAUCGUUAAUACCGCAUAACAUAAUUGAACCGCAUGAUUUGAUUAUCAAAGAUUUAUCGCUGAAAGAUGAGCUCGCGUCUGAUUAGCUAGUUGGUAAGGUAACGGCUUACCAAGGCGACGAUCAGUAGCCGGACUGAGAGGUUGAUCGGCCACAUUGGGACUGAGACACGGCCCAGACUCCUACGGGAGGCAGCAGUGGGGAAUAUUGCACAAUGGAGGAAACUCUGAUGCAGCGAUGCCGCGUGAGGGAAGAAGGUUUUAGGAUUGUAAACCUCUGUCUUCAGGGACGAAAAAUGACGGUACCUGAGGAGGAAGCUCCGGCUAACUACGUGCCAGCAGCCGCGGUAAUACGUAGGGAGCGAGCGUUGUCCGGAAUUACUGGGUGUAAAGGGAGCGUAGGCGGGAUCGCAAGUCAGAUGUGAAAACUAUGGGCUUAACCCAUAAACUGCAUUUGAAACUGUGGUUCUUGAGUGAAGUAGAGGUAAGCGGAAUUCCUAGUGUAGCGGUGAAAUGCGUAGAUAUUAGGAGGAACAUCAGUGGCGAAGGCGGCUUACUGGGCUUUAACUGACGCUGAGGCUCGAAAGCGUGGGGAGCAAACAGGAUUAGAUACCCUGGUAGUCCACGCCGUAAACGAUGAUUACUAGGUGUGGGGGGACUGACCCCUUCCGUGCCGCAGCAAACGCAAUAAGUAAUCCACCUGGGGAGUACGACCGCAAGGUUGAAACUCAAAGGAAUUGACGGGGGCCCGCACAAGCAGUGGAGUAUGUGGAUUAAUUCGAAGCAACGCGAAGAACCUUACCAGGUCUUGACAUCGUAUGCAUAGCUCAGAGAUGAGUGAAAUCUCUUCGGAGACAUAUAGACAGGUGGUGCAUGGUUGUCGUCAGCUCGUGUCGUGAGAUGUUGGGUUAAGUCCCGCAACGAGCGCAACCCUUACUGUUAGUUGCUACGCAAGAGCACUCUAGCAGGACUGCCGUUGACAAAACGGAGGAAGGUGGGGAUGACGUCAAAUCAUCAUGCCCCUUAUGACCUGGGCCUCACACGUACUACAAUGGCUGUCAACAGAGGGAAGCAAAGCCGCGAGGUGGAGCAAACCCCUAAAAGCAGUCUUAGUUCGGAUUGUAGGCUGCAACCCGCCUACAUGAAGUCGGAAUUGCUAGUAAUCGCAGAUCAGCAUGCUGCGGUGAAUACGUUCCCGGGCCUUGUACACACCGCCCGUCACGCCAUGGGAGUCGGUAACACCCGAAGCCUGUAGUCUAACCGCAAGGAGGACGCAGUCGAAGGUGGGAUUGAUGACUGGGGUGAAGUCGUAAAAAGGUAACC